UCAGACCCUCCAAAGAUCCAUGUGACUCAUCACCCCAUCUCCCGGACCUUGAGGUCACCCUGAGGUGCUGGGCCCUGGGCUUCUACCCCUGAGAUUUCACUGACCUGGCAGCGUGAUGGGGAGGACCUGACCCAGGACUUGGAGCUUGUGGAGACCAGGCCUUCAGGAGAUGGAACCUUCCAGAAGUGGGCGGUCCUGGUGGUGCCUUUCUGGAGAGGAGCAGAGAUACACGUGCCGUGUGCAGCACGAGGGGCUUCAGGAGCCCCUCACCCUGAGAUGGGGACCUCCUCAGCCCUCCAUCCCCAUCAUGGGCAUCACUGUUGGCCUAGAUCUCCUCAUGGUGGCUGUGCAGUGACAGUGCCCAGGGCUGUGAUGUUACCUUUCACCAGUCCCUAAAGAACAUAAGUAAUCCCACAGAAGAUCAGCAUCAGACAAGGACAUCUGAGUGCAUGACACAGAGAGACAAAACAAGAACAGGACAGCAUUCUGUACCAGCACAGACCAACCAGGCAGCCCAGUGCCCCUCACCGUGGACCAGACCUCUCCCUGUGCUGACCCAGAGACCAUGCUUCCUCCCAGUCACAGCUGUAUCCUGGCUCUAGUCUGCCCUCCCUACAGCAGAGGCUCACUGAGAUGACCAGUCCCAUUAUUGCGCCCACUUCCUGACAACACCCAAUCUACAGUAAGCCAGUCUCACAUAGACGCGUCUCAAAAUCAAAGCCCACAUCCUCUAUAUCACCGGUCCUCAACGUUUUGGCACCAGGAACUGAUUUCAUGGAAGACAAUUUUUCCAUGGACCAGGGGUGGGAGGAAUGCUUUCAGGAUGAUUCAAGCACAGUAUAUUUUUUGUACACUUUAUUUCUAAUCUAAUGUUGGCACUGAUCUGACAGCAGCUACCAAUCCAAGGUCAGAGUUUGGGGACUCCUGGCUGUCUAUGUUCUAACACCUUACAAGGAUACUAUGGUCCCUCCUGCUGUGUAAUCUCUCUCGCUGUAUCCAGUAUAAAUCCAGCUUGGUUGCCUACAGGUUUGCUUCUGGUGGUCUUUGAUGGAAGAAUAUUGAGACAUGUCACCUGUUUGCCAGAAAUUUUUAUGUGUCUCCAUUGGAAUACUGGUGUAUGUUUGUUAUCUUGUGAGUGUCUGAUUGACAUAGGAAAGAUUUAUAUCCUUUGAUGCUUUAUAUGCUUUCAUCUUUGGGUCAUAAAACUCUUCUUUCCACAAGUGUAAAACAUUCAUGUAUAUUUUUGUCUAGGAGAGAGGGGUCUUCCAAGGGUGCAGAGAAAACAGAACUGAUGGAAUUUGGGAAGAAAGUAUAGCAGGAGCAGUAAGUAAAAAGUAGUAAGGUGCUAGAUUCUAAUGUUGCAUCUUCUGUUUCACAACUUUACAAGUAUAUACAAGUCCUACAAGUAUUGAUAUCUGUUGUGUUCAAUAAAUACUUCC